rnacentral:tRNA from 1 species
CGGCGGCCUUGCCGGUGUGGCCGCGGUCGGCGGUGACGAUGCCGUCCGCGACGAAGUUGCCGUCGUUGGGGUUGUCGCCCCAGUCGCCGCC